GCCGGGCGCGGUGGCGCGCGCCUGUAGUCCCAGCUACUGAGGAGGCUGAGGCUGGAGGAUCGCUUGAGCCCAGGAGUUCUGGGCUGUCGUGCGCUAUGCCGAUCCGCUGUCCGCACUAUCGGCAUCAUUAUGGUGACCUCCCAGGAGCGGGGGGCCACCAGGUUGCCUAAGGAGGGGUGAACCGGCCCAGGUCGGAGACGGAGCAGGUCAAAGCUCCCGUGCUGACCAGUAGUGGGAUCGCGCCUGUGAAUAGCCACUGCACUCCAGCCUGGGCAGCAUAGCGAGACCCCGUCUAUA
rnacentral:SRP_RNA from 1 species